rnacentral:lncRNA from 1 species
CUUGCCCUGGGGAAGAAUCCACCAUUCCAGCUCAGGCUGUUCUGCUGCCAGCUCCUCCCCUCUGUGAGCAAUGAUCCUGACUUCAGUCCUUGCCUGAACAUUCCUUAUAGCACUUGCCUACUUUUUCCUGAAAUCAAGGUCUGACAGAGCUAUCUCAUUGGCCACAUAUCCUGUAUGGUUGGUUGGCUGGUUGGCUGGUUUGGUUGGAGACAAAGAUAGGACCCCGUGGGACUGCGCUGCAGGCAGGCGGACUGGCGUGUUCGUUAUAAAGACGGGGUGCUCCUGAGAUCUGUAGCUACGACGAAGCGGAACAUCCUGGAAC